UACAGAGGGUGCAAGCGUUAAUCGGAAUGACUGGGCGUAAAGAGUGCGUAGGUGGCAAAAUAAGUUAGUUGUGAAAUCCCUGGGCUUAACCUAGGAACUGCAAUUGAUACUGUUUAGCUAGAGUAUAGUAGAGGUAAGUGGAAUUUCCGGUGUAGCGGUGAAAUGCGUAGAUAUCGGAAGGAACACCAGUGGCGAAGGCGGCUUACUGGGCUAAUACUGACACUGAGGCACGAAAGCGUGGGGAGCAAACAGG
rnacentral:rRNA from 1 species